CAUGCAAGUCGAACGAAGUAGCAAUACUUAGUGGCAGACGGGUGAGUAACAUGUGGGUAUCUACCCUUUGGCCUGGAAUAACACGAGGAAACUUGUGCUAAUACCGGAUAAGUCUUUACGGAGAAAGCUUUAUGCACCAUUGGAUGAGCCCGCACUUGAUUAGUUUGUUGGUAGGGUAAUGGCCUACCAAGACUAUGAUCAAUAGCUGAUUUGAGAGGAUGAUCAGCCACAUUGGGACUGAGACACGGCCCAAACUCCUACGGGAGGCAGCAGUGGGGAAUCUUGCACAAUGGAGGAAACUCUGAUGCAGCGAUGCCGCGUGAGUGAAGAAGGCCCUUGGGUUGUAAAGCUCUUUCGUCGGGGAAGAAAAUGACUGUACCCGAAUAAGAAGGUCCGGCUAACUUCGUGCCAGCAGCCGCGGUAAUACGAAGGGACCUAGCGUAGUUCGGAAUUACUGGGCUUAAAGAGUUCGUAGGUGGUUGAAAAGGUUAGUGGUGAAAUCCCAGAGCUUAACUCUGGAACUGCCAUUAAAACUUUUCAGCUAGAGUAUGAUAGAGGAAAGCAGAAUUUCUAGUGUAGAGGUGAAAUUCGUAGAUAUUAGAAAGAAUACCAAUUGCGAAGGCAGCUUUCUGGAUCAUUACUGACACUGAGGAACGAAAGCAUGGGUAGCGAAGAGGAUUAGAUACCCUCGUAGUCCAUGCCGUAAACGAUGUGUGUUAGACGUUGGAAAUUUAUUUUCAGUGUCGCAGGGAAACCGAUAAACAC
rnacentral:rRNA from 1 species